CUGAUUCUCUGUUCUGGAGAGAAGUUGUUGUCGCCGGCUUCACUCUGAUGUGUAUUCUCUAGUUUGCUGCAAGGAGACAGAUAGUCGACUUUCUGAUGAUCCGAAUAAGCAUGUUGGCUUGGCCCGUCAACAAACCGCUUUGUAUGAAGCUGUGGAUCUGGGUCGUCGUCUGACUUGGAAUGUUGAUAGAUGUAUUGUAAGGUCAGAAUUUUUAUGAUUUCAGCUCUUGCUGUCCUUCCUGGAGGAGAAUACGUGCUGGCAGGAGGUUGACUUCUGAUAACACAAUAGAUGGAAUUUCACAAUGGACCAUCAGAAAGAAGAAAAAUGUCACUUCUGUGUAACGGGGGAAUGAGAAAGUCAAAGGAUUUGACCCCUGACAAUUGACUUCACAAACACAGGGAGUCAGCAGCAGCGCUGGGGCCGUGUCCUGUGAGGAUCGUGGUCUGUAAUAGCAGCAUGGAUACAAUGUAUCACUUUCCGGUAGAGAUACUGAAUGUGUAUUUAAAGGGACAGUACAGUAAAAAUAUGACAUUCUAA